UAUAACAAUUGUAUGCCCUUUUCUUAACCUUUAGCAUGACUGCAUAACUACUCUAGCAGUUAAAGCUUCUUAGACUGUCUCCAGUAGAGCUUGUAAAUUAGGGGACACGGUAUUAUAGAUGACAAUGUUUAAUACUGUUUACGGAGAGAAGUUUGAAAUAGGUGAUAAGAUAGAGGAUAUAAUAGGAGAUCUGUUGGAGAUAGCCUAUGAAGCUGUUUACAUCUGGGAAGGCCUUUUUUUACCUGUGGCUUUGUGAGGAGCAGCUUUAGUCAUGUUUUGUUUCAAAGUGCUAAGCCAUAUCUGUUGACUGUUGUUUCUAUUUGCUAGUUUGCUUGCUGCUGGUUUCUUCAAUGGAGUCCCCGACUAUUACUAGCUUCUAUCAGUCUUGUGUGGUUCUGCCCCUGCUGUUGGGCUGGUCCUGCUACUGGAUAGUGGGUACUGCUUAGUGAAGUCUGAACUUAUGUUUGCUGUGUUCUUCAAUUAAGUCUAGACUUCUAUCAAUUGUGAUGAUGUCAUUUGACUCUGUGAGACUAAGCUGUUAUGUACUUAUGCCUGAAUUCUGUUAUUUACUCUAUGAUGCAAGUAUUUA
rnacentral:lncRNA from 1 species